rnacentral:tRNA from 1 species
CAAAAUAUAGUUUAAUUAGAAAAAUAUCUCGUUUACAUUGAGGAGAAAUAUUGUGAGAAUCAAAUUAUUUUGA